AAGGUUUGGAGCAGUGGGCAGGCUGUGCGCCCAUGCCCCACACUCCUGGGCUGCUGAAUGGGGGUGGGGGGUGCUGCUCUGCCAACAGCCUGCCCUUCCCCUCAAGGUUUGGAGCAGUGGGCAGGCUGUUCACUGAGAGAGGGGAGGAAGAGGACGGAGAGGAGGGGGACCAAGAAGCUGGGUGAAGGGAGAUGAGGUACCAUAGGUUGCCGUGAGUGGAGAGUCAUGGUAGAGGGCAAAGGAGAGGGAGCAGUGAAGGGGAGAAAUUGUAGACAUCACCUGAGGAGUUUGGGUGAAAGGAAUGGAGAGGAGGAGGCUGGAAAAGGGGACUGUUCUGCUUGGGGG
rnacentral:lncRNA from 1 species